rnacentral:misc_RNA from 1 species
UACGUAUGUGGCAAGCGUUGUCCGGAGUGAGUGGGCGUAAAGCGCGCGCAGGCUGUCCCUGAAGUCUGAUGUGAAAGCCCACGGCUCAACCGUGGAGGGUCAUUGGAAACUGGGAGACUUGAGUACAGAAGAGGAGAGUGGAAUUCCACGUGUAGCGGUGAAAUGCGUAGAUAUGUGGAGGAACACCAGUGGCGAAGGCGACUCUCUGGUCUGUAACUGACGCUGAGGCGCGAAAGCGUGGGGAGCAAACAGG